GUUAUCCCAAAAACCUGCAUACACACCGGCCCUUUGCGGAUAAGAUUGGCCACCCCUGCCAUACAUCAAUGGUUACAUGCAAUACUGCUUCAGCAAUUAAAAUUAGACGAGCAAAAAUUCUGUUUGAUAUCUUUGAGGAAUGUGGUAUUUUUACACCGAUAUCUCAGUGAUUCCAGCCCGUUCCCUGGCAUAUGGGCUACCGGGUGGCACUGGGCCAAAACUGGCUUAUGUCGUCCUCUGCGGGGGUCCCUGGCUGCUGCCGUCAUCUAUGGCAGGAGGUCACCCUUCCGGUUGACAGAGCGGCCAUGGCCUGACGUGGAUGCUGCCUGCUGCUCCAGUGGAGGCGUGAAGCUUGUGCCUGCUGGCAUGUACAGAGUAGUCUGUCCUGCAGAAACCCACGUUUAAAUUAGAUAUGAAAACCAGUCUUAGCAGAUACAUUUGAUUAUCGUUAAAGAAACGCCCUAAAGAUAUCAAAAAUGUCUG